UGACCUAGGUACUUCACCCAUGUUUUUUACGCACCCAAAGUUUCCUUGGCGGCUCCGUCCGCCGAUUGGACAACAAUUAAACCCUUGUAAUUGCAAUCAGCGUCGAAUAAACUUAAUAAUUAAAACUUUCAACAACGGAUCUCUUGGUUCUGGCAUCGAUGAAGAACGCAGCGAAAUGCGAUACGUAGUGUGAAUUGCAGAAUUCAGUGAAUCAUCGAAUCUUUGAACGCACAUUGCACCUCUCGGUAUUCCGGGAGGUAUGCCUGUUCGAGCGUCAUUACGUGCCCUCAAGCUCUGCUUGGUGUUGGGUGUUUGUUCUGCCUCUGCGUGUGAACUCGCCUUAAAACAAUUGGCAGCCGGCGUACUUGUUUCGGAGCGCAGCACAUUUUGCGCUCUAGACCAAUGUACAGCGGCAUCCAAGAAGCCUUAUUUAACAAUCUUGACCUCGGAUCAGGUAGGGAUACCCGCUGAACUUAAGCAUAUCAAUAAGCGGAGGAA
rnacentral:rRNA from 1 species